rnacentral:rRNA from 1 species
CGGAGAGGGAGCAUGAGAAACGGCUACCACUUCUAAGGAAGGCAGCAGGCGCGCAAAUUACCCAAUCCUGACUCAGGGAGGUAGUGACAAGAAAUAACAAUAAACCGGCUUAUGCCGGUUUAAUUGGAAUGAGUACAAUUUAAACAUCUUAACGAGGAACAAUUGGAGGGCAAGUCUGGUGCCAGCAGCCGCGGUAAUUCCAGCUCCAAUAGCGUAUACUAAAGUUGUUGCAGUUAAAAAGCUCGUAGUUGGAUUUCUGCGGGGACGGAGCGGCCGGUCGCAACUUGCGACUCGAGCUAGCGCUUUCCCCGCAUCCUGCCGCGAACCGUGCUACCAUUAGUUUGGUGGCGCUGGGGAUCGGCUCGAUUACUUUGAGAAAAAUAGAGUGUUCAAAGCAGGCCACACGCCUUGAAUAAGUUAGCAUGGAAUAAUGACUAAGGACUUCGGUUCUAUUUUGUUGGUGUUCGGGACUGAAGUAAUGAUUGAUAGGGACAGUUGGGGCGGUCUGUAUUCCAAAGCGAGAGGUGGAAUUCUUAGACCUUCGGAAGACAAGCAGCUGCGAAAGCGUUCCGCAAGGAUGUUCCCUUUGAUCAAGAACGAAAGUUGGGGGAUCGAAGACGAUCAGAUACCGUCGUAGUCUCAACUAUAAACUAUACCAGCUAGGGAUCGGUCAACGUUUAAUUAUUCGACUUGAUCGGCACCUUAUGAGAAAUCAAAGCAUCUGGGUUCCGGGGGGAGUAUGGUCGCAAGGCUGAAACUUAAAGGAAUUGACGGAAGGGCACCACCAGCCGUGGAGCCUGUGGCUUAAUUUGACUCAACACGGGAAAACUUACCAGGUCCAGACAUAGUAAGGAUUGACAGAUUGAUAGCUCUUUCUUGAUUCUGUGGGUGGUGGUGCAUGGCCGUUCUUAGUUGGUGGAGUGAUUUGUCUGGUUAAUUCCGUUAACGAACGAGACCCCAGCCUGCUAAAUAGCGCGGCUGAGCUUUGCUCGGUGCGAGCUUCUUAGAGGGACUAUGAUGCGCGAUAGCACAUGGAAGUUUGGGGCAAUAACAGGUCUGUGAUGCCCUUAGAUGUUCUGGGCCGCACACGGGCUACACUGGCGCCUGCAACGAGCAUAUCAGCUGGCCCGAGAGGGUCUUGGCUAAUCUUUUGAACCGGCGCCGUGCUUGGGAUUGACCUUUGCAAUUGUUGGUCAUGCAACGAGGAAUGCCUUGUAAACGCGAGUCAUCAGCUCGCAUUGAAUACGUCCCUGCCCUUUGUACACACCGCCCGUCGCUCCUACCGAUGAAUAUUCCGAUGAAAUUUUCGGAGAGCGCCAGAGAACGGGGCUCUGCCUUGCAGAUCUGGAGGCUCAAAGUCACUUAAAUCUGAACAUUUCGAGGAAGGAGAAGUCGUAACAAGGUAACC